rnacentral:rRNA from 1 species
AGCUCCAAAAGCGUAUAUUAAAGUUGUUGCAGUUAAAAAGCUCGUAGUUGAACCUUGGGCUUGGUUAGCCGGUCCGCCUUUUGGUGAGUACUGGAUAUAACCGAGCCUUUCCUUCUGGGUAACCUUUCUUUCGGGGAAGGCGAACCAGGACUUUUACUUUGAAAAAAUUAGAGUGUUCAAAGCAGGCCUUUGCUCGAAUAUAUUAGCAUGGAAUAAUAGAAUAGGACGUUAUGGUUCUAUUUUGUUGGUUUCUAGGACCAUCGUAAUGAUUAAUAGGGACGGACGGGGGUAUCAGUAUUCAGUUGUCAGAGGUGAAAUUCUUGGAUUUACUGAAGACUAACUACUGCGAAAGCAUUUACCAAGCACGUUUUCA